CCUGAAUAACCUCUACAUGACCUCAUAUGUAGCUUUUCCAGAGGAGCUUGCCUUUGGCUUCUACCUUCCUUUGAACAGAAUUCCACAGGAUUUGCCAAGGCUGACAGGCAAGAGUCCAGUGAAGCCUAUUUGUUUUCCAUGUUAACUGAGAGGAAGAGGGAAGAGAGGAAUCAGAAUGGUGACUUACAAGUAUGAUGUCCAAGUCUGGCAGAGCAUAUUGACAAAAUGAGAUCAAGUUAGUUUACUUAAUGACUGGAAACAUCGCAGGUAUAUAUGUGAAAUGGCUGUCAUGUCAGAUGCUGGCUUAUGGGAUAAAAGGAUAGAGUUCCAUGAAGAAAAUGCAUCACUCCAUAGUCUUCAAAUUGUCACAGGGUAUAAGAUGAAGAAGAUGUAGAAGGGGAAGGAGAGGAGGAAAAGGAGGAGGAGCAGGAGCAAAGGAAAACCGAAAAAGGAGGAGAACGAGGAAGGAGAAGGAGGAAG